rnacentral:rRNA from 1 species
UAACCCUUUGUUGUCCGACUCUGUUGCCUCCGGGGCGACCCUGCCUUCGGGCGGGGGCUCCGGGUGGACACUUCAAACUCUUGCGUAACUUUGCAGUCUGAGUAAACUUAAUUAAUAAAUUAAAACUUUUAACAACGGAUCUCUUGGUUCUGGCAUCGAUGAAGAACGCAGCGAAAUGCGAUAAGUAAUGUGAAUUGCAGAAUUCAGUGAAUCAUCGAAUCUUUGAACGCACAUUGCGCCCCCUGGUAUUCCGGGGGGCAUGCCUGUUCGAGCGUCAUUUCACCACUCAAGCCUCGCUUGGUAUUGGGCAACGCGGUCCGCCGCGUGCCUCAAAUCGUCCGGCUGGGUCUUCUGUCCCCUAAGCGUUGUGGAAACUAUUCGCUAAAGGGUGUUCGGGAGGCUACGCCGUAAAACAACCCCAUUUCUAAGGUUGACCUCGGAUCAG